rnacentral:rRNA from 1 species
UACAGAGGUCUCAAGCGUUGUUCGGAUUCAUUGGGCGUAAAGGGUGUGUAGGUGGCGCGCUAAGUCGGGUGUGAAAUUUCGGGGCUUAACUCCGAAACUGCAUUCGAUACUGGCGUGCUUGAGGACUGGAGAGGAGACUGGAAUUCAUGGUGUAGCAGUGAAAUGCGUAGAGAUCAUGAGGAAGACCAGUGGCGAAGGCGGGUCUCUGGACCAGUUCUGACACUGAUGAGCGAAAGCCAGGGGAGCAAACAGG